rnacentral:lncRNA from 1 species
UAAGAAAGGGCGACUACCAAGACUUUUGUAUGCAAUUUCAGACAAAUCCGGAAGUAAACAAAAUUACCUGAGAAUCCGAGAUGUAGAACGCAACGAUGUCCCCGAAAAAGAAGCCCGACCGCAAAACUCCGAAGACCCGACCUUACAAAGUCUACUUGAUUUGCCUCGGAUCGUUGAAAACUUCUGGACCUGGGUCGGCUGUGUGGGCUUAGAGUCUUAAGCUCAGGAUUAAUCGCAAAAUAUACAGACUUGACACCAGUUCGUAACAUUUUUGUCCAUGAUGAAAAAUUGUUUGAUUAAUUAAUAAACGUUUGUAAAUUGUA